UGGGGAAUAUUGGGCAAUGGGCGAAAGCCUGACCCAGCCAUGCCGCGUGAGUGAUGAAGGCCUUCGGGUCGUAAAGCUCUGUGGGGAGGGAAGAACAACCUUGUGGCUAAUAUCCACGUGGCUUGACGGUACCUCCUUAGCAAGCACCGGCUAACUCCGUGCCAGCAGCCGCGGUAAUACGGAGGGUGCAAACGUUGCUCGGAAUUAUUGGGCGUAAAGCGCACGUAGGCGGCUUGUUAAGUCGGAUGUGAAAGCCCCAGGCUCAACCUGGGAAGUGCAUACGAAACUGGCGAGCUUGAAUAUGGAAGAGGGUCGCGGAAUUCCCGGUGUAGAGGUGAAAUUCGUAGAUAUCGGGAGGAACACCAGUGGCGAAGGCGGCGACCUGGGCCAAUAUUGACGCUGAGGUGCGAAAGCGUGGGGAGCAAAC
rnacentral:rRNA from 1 species